AAUCACUAAUUAUUCUCGAUUACAUAAAACGUAUUACAAUAAUAAAAUAAGUUACCUUAUAGAGGAUAUUAACUUAGGUAAGUUGCUAGUGGUCAAAGGUUUGACUCUUGGUAUAUGGUAAGGGCAUCCAAUGGAUAUAGGACGAAGUCAUGGACCAAGACUCAAAGUCAAAAGAAUAAAGUAUUAACAAGGAAAUAUCCAAAGAUUAAAUAUGAGUCAUUAGUAUGUGUCAUAGGAUACCUUCGAGGCUCGUGAGAUGCCAAAAGGAACUUAGGGCCACGUGUGUAAAAGUCAAAGAGUGGAAGUUGUCUUUUAGGGCAGCAACCACUAUCUAUAAGUAAUGGAUAUAGGAAGCAAGAGACAUCUUAUUCCAUACUCUCUUUAUGUGCAACCUUGUUGAUGCUAAGUGUUGUGUCUUUAAAGUUCUUGUUCUUCAAUAGGUUAUGGGCCCACUCACCUUUACUUGUGAGUUUUGAAGUACUUUAAAGUCUUUCUUGGUUGUGAGGAAUAAAUCUUAUGGUUGUUGCUGAAGUUUGAGUUUGCUCUCUUCUAACCCUUCUUAUGCAUCUAGUUGUUGAUGUAGUUUUUGCUCUUACUUAUUGUUAAGUGCAUUGAUAGUCUUGGUUGUUGUUAGAUUCCAUUUAAUGAUGUUUUAGAACUUGAGUAUUGUAUUUCUUUGUUGAGUUUUAUCAUUGGUGCUCUAACUUUGUGCUUUCAUAUACUUAACUUCAUAAGAGAUUCUCAUAUUAUUAUAAGAAGUAUUUUGUAUGGUUACAGGGGAGAUUGAAGAGUAGCAAAGCUUAUACAAGAGGUUAAGAUAGAGUAUAAGACUUGUGAGAAGUCUUAUAUGUGAAGUUGAGAGUGAUACAAGAAUGAAAUCACUUGUAUAAUUACAAAGAGGGCAUUCUGGGUUUCUAAGGCAGCAACACCUUGUUGUUGAUUUUGAUAGUUCUAUCUUUUUUUUUUCUUGAUUUUCUUUCACACAUCCCUUCCCUAGACAUGGCUUCAAGUAAAGGUGGAAGCUUGAGAGUGAUUGAAAAGUUUAGAGGUAACAACUUUUACCAUUGGAAGAAGAAAAUGGAACUUUUUAUUGGCUUCAUUGGACCUUUGGGACAUUGUUGAUGAAAGUGAAGACCCUCCAAGUGAAAAUGCUGAUAUCAAGGUGAAGAAGGAGUAUAAACGUCAUGAAAGGAAGGCUUUUGGGAUGAUUGCAACAAACCUUGAUGAUGCUAACUUUUCAUAUGUUAUAGCUUGCAAUGGACCAGCGGAAGCAUAGAAGACUCUUUGCAACAUCUAUGAGAGUAGAAACCUUGCCAACAUCCUUUGGACAAGGAAGAAGUUCUUGACAAUAAAGAUGGAAGAAGGAGAUGACCUCAUGGCUCAUGUUAAUAAGGUAAAAGCACUUGCUAACCAACUAGCAGUUGACAAACCAGUUGAUGAUAAGGAUAUUGUAUUGACAUUGCUCAUGAGCCUUCCCGAAUCCUACAACUACCUCAUUGUGGCAUUGGAAUCCAUCAACAUGAAGGAGCUUACCAUGAACUAUGUGACAUCAAGACUUGUCCAUGAAGUAACUAAGAGGAAAGAAAAGGAGCUUGAAAGUGAUGAUUUGGCUCUAUUUUCAAGACAAGGCAAAGGUAGCUAUUCUCACCAACGUGAUAAUUCAAAAAGCAACAUGAGGAAUUGCUAUAUUUGUAGAAAAAUAAGUCAUUUUGCUAGAAAUUGUUACAAGGCCAAGAAAGGAGAUAGAGAGAAUGUAAACAAUGUUAGUGAUAGUUUUGGUGGAUAUGAGUAUGCUUUCAUAGCAAGGCAAGGAGCCUCCAUGGUUGCUAUUUUGAAGUAGAUUAUAGAUUCAGGUGCUACUAAGCACAUGACUUCAUACAAGUAUUUAUUUAACACUUAUGAAGAAAUUCUAAUAAUAAAAGUGUGGUUGGGAGACAAUGGCAUGGUGCAAGCCAUUGGAAUUGGCUCCAUUGUCGUGGAGAUUGUUGUGAAGGACCAAAUCAAGAGGAUCACAUUGAAGGAAGUUUUACAUGUUCCAAAAAUAAAGAAGAACCUCAUUUCGGUGAACAAACUUGUAUCACAUGGUUAUAAGGUUCAAUUUGAUAUGAAUGGAUGUUUUAUUAAGACAUUGGAUGGCCAACAUAUUGCCAAAGGCCUUAGAGAUGGAAAUCUCUACUUCAUCAAUUGCAAGAAGGUGAAUAGAGUUGAAGUGGUGGCAUUUACUGAUUUUCUAUAAAAUCAAGACAAGUUUGGUAUUUGGCAUCAACGACUUAGUCAUUUGAAUGCCAAAUGCAUGAAGGAGCUCCAAUCCAUAGUAAGUGGCUUAGAUCUUGGUCAAUUCAGCCACAAUACCAUGAUACUUGCUUGUGAAGGAUGUAUACAAGGCAAACAACAAAAGACAUCAUUUCCAAGUGGAGUUGUAACACAUGCAACAAAAUUGUUGGAGAUUGUGCACAUUGAUGUUUGUAGACCAAUGAAGACACCAUCAAUUGGAAGAGCAAGGUACUUUGUCACAUUCAUAGAUGACUUUUCAAGAAAGGUAUGGAUUUACAUCAUUAAAGCUAAAAGUGAAUGUUUCUCAAGGUUUAAGGAAUUUAUGGCUCUUGUAGAGAAACAAUGUGAGUGCAAGAUCAAAGUGUUGAGAGUGGACAAUGGAGGUGAAUACAUGUCAAAGCAUUUUGAUGAAUUCAUAAAGAUUCAAGGUAUUGCAAGACAAACCUCUACUUCUUACACUCCACAACAAAAUGGAGUUGCUGAAAGAACAAAUCAGAUCAUUUGUGGAGAUGGCAAGGAGUAUGAUUCAUACACAAAACCUUGGGCAUGAAUAUUGGAUGGAAGCUGUAGUAAAUGCGGUGUAUAUAAGGAAUAGGUGCCCUACAAGUGCACUUACAUCAAUGACUCCACAAGAAGUUUGGAAUAGAAAGAAACCUUAUGUUUCACACAUAAGGAUUUUUGGAUGCAUUGCUUAUGCAAAGGUACUAGAUUGUAUGAGGUCCAAACUUGAUGCAAAAGGUACAAAAUGUAUAUUUGUUGGAUAUUGUGAAGGUACCAAAUCAUAUGGGCUAAUGUGUUUAGAAACCAAGAAGAUCAUCAAAAGUCGUAAUGUAGAGUUUUUGGAGCAUAAGAGUGUUUUUGAGCACUUGAAAGAGUAUCCAAGUGGGAGUGAAGGUGUGUUUGUGGACACAUCUUCAAGUUCAGCAAAAAAAGAAGAAGAAGAAGAAGAUGAUGAUGACAAUGAGGAUAGAAGAAAUAGAAGUCAAGUUCAAAAGCCAAAGAAGGUAAAUCAUAUUGUACCUUCAAUUGCUAGAACCAAUAAUGAAGACAAUGAAGACAAUGAAGACAUUGAAGGUGAUGAUGAUGAUGAAGAAUAUCAACCUUAGAGUUAGAAAAGAUAAGCAUUGAGGAAGAAAAAGGAUGGAAUGCAAGAAGAAGGAUCUUCUUCAAAUGAAAGGAGAUAUCCUUUAAGAGAAAGAAAACCAUGUGGUAAAUAGUGGAAGGACCUCAUCUUUCUUCAAGUAAGUGAAGAACAUGCCAAUGUUGCACUUCUUGCUGAUUCAUUGAAUUUAUGUGAUGCAAUGAAGUCCACGAAUGCGUUGAAGUAGGAGAAUGCUAUGGAAGAAGAGUACAAAUUACUCAUAGACAAUGGAACAUGGGAAUUGACUCAACUUCCACCAAAUCAAUCUUCAAUUAGUUGUAAGUGGGUGUUUAGAACCAAAAAGGAUGCAAUGGACAAUAUUGUGAGAUACAAGUCUAGAUUGAUUGCUAAAGGCUACUCAUAAGUUGCUGGUGUGGAUUUCAAUGAGACAUUUGCUUCCGUGGCCAAAUUCACGACCAUUAGAACCAUUGUGGCAAUUGGGGCAGCAUUAGAUUUGGAGAUGCAUCAAAUGGAUGUGAAGACGGUUUUUUUGAAUGGAAGUUUGGAAGAAGACAUCUACAUAGAGCAACCUCAAGGAUUUGUUGAAGAAGGCAAACAAUAACUUGUUUGUAAGUUGAAGAAAUCUUUGUAUGGAUUAAAGCAAUCACCAAGGACAUGCUACCAAUGCUGUCAUAUUAUGUGCUAUCUUGCUUGAGAAUGCACCGGGCAUCUGGCUGUAGAAAAUAAAACAAUGUUUUGCAAGUAUUUAGGUAGGUUAGUGGGUUUCAACCAUCUAAAUACAAACUAUUUUGGAUUUCAAUGUAAAAGCUUAAUCUCAAUACAAAGUGCUUAGAAAUACUAUUUUUAAUAACUUCAAGAUAUUAUAAGCACAAAGUCUUUUUUUAUUUGUUAAUUUUUAUUUUAUUUUUUAUUUUUUAUUUUAUUUUAUUUUAUUUUAUUUUUAACCCUAACUCUAAACAACGAGCUUCAGCAAGCUGUAAUACUCAUUCUAAUCGUCCGAUUGUUAUGAAUUUCUACCACUAGUAUCUUUGCAAGUCUUUUAAAUGCUCAAGAAGUUUCAAUCCAAUCUAACUUAUAAGUUCCAAAAAAAUGCCAUUAAUCCAUAUUGAUGUAUCUUGAUUGCCGCCUAGAAGUCUUCGACUUACCAUACCAAAAGUCACCUUAUUCUAGCCAAUAGAUCUCCAAAUAUUACAAAAAUCCUAAACAACCCCAAUCUACUAAUUUCUGAUACCUCUUUACACUAAUAGUCAAAUAUCCUCUAUCUGUUUUGUCAGAUUCACACAAACUUUUAUAUGCACUCGGCAUACUCAACCCUCUAGAUACCUCUAAAUUUCAACCGCAAAAGUUUUUCCAAUUUCACAAAACAGGCAAAAGUACCAGCCAUUACUUUAUUGCAAAAAAUCCAAUUUACCAAUACAAACACUGACUUUCAACAACGAUUGCCAAAGUUCUCCCAAAUCCUAUGAAAUCCAAUUCUAUACCUUUCAAAGGAGCUUGAAGCUAGCUCUCCGACCCCAAAAAUCUAAUCUCCAAAUGCCCCUUAUCUUAUCAUCUCCUCUCUUUUAACUCCGUGUAGUCCCCUUUUCUCCCGCCCUGGACUCUAAAUUAGAACAGCCGACGACGCUUCCCCGGAAUUCUUGUCUCUAAGAGGAUCUUUCCACCAAAAGGACAUUUCUCCCGAAAUGGCAUAGAAAAUGGAACAGAUUAAAAUGGAACCAAAGCCUCUAUAUUCAGGACCUCAUUGGGUUGCCCAACCAAGUCAGGUCUCAUACUGGGUAAGAAGCCCAUACCAAGACUUGGAUUGGAUGUCCCCGUAAUUGGAUCAAAUUGGCCCUUCACAUCAGACUCACCCAAAUAUUGAAUUGGUUCUUUCUCCUUUUGCCGACUCUUGGUAAGAACGGCUCGGACUCAUCCCACUUGAUUUAUCGAAGAAUCUUAAGGACCUUGAUUUAUCUCUUCAAUUUUUCCUUGGCUUUGGAUUUACUGAUCCCGUUUAUUGAAAUUGGACGGAGCAUUACAUUGCUGAUAAGUAUGCCUCAUCUGCUUGCCAUUCCUACACACUCGCCUGUAAUCAUCACUGGCUUUGGGAUUGGAAUAUUCACUGGCAUAAUAACCAACCUAGUUUUCAACGGAAAUGACGAAGUGGUCUUCCUGCACCCCAUCAUGCAUAUUGGGUGUCUCAAUCGGUAUAUAUCUAUUAGGCUUGUUCCAUAUAGGGUUAAAAAAUAAUCUUGGUUGUUCCGUUGGUAUGGAGGGUACUUGGUUCGAUGAUGCCGGUGGAGUGACAUUAACUGACCCUGAAUAUUGGCAUUGGAAUGAGACACUGUUUCUAACAUCCAAGAUGACUAAAUAUUAAUAAUAUCUUUUUCAUUUAUAUUUUCACCAUGUAGUCGUGUUACAACACAACAUCCACUCCUUUUGAACAUGUGUAUCUUUUAGUAUGCACCAAAUAACCCAGUUGUUGUUUGAUUCAUAAUAUGUUCUCCAAGUCUUUGUUUAAAUCCUCUUCAUCAUUUUUGCUAUCCAUGUCAAAUUCAUCUUCCUGUUGAAGAAUAUCUAUAUCUUCACCAAGGUCUUUUUUAUUUAUUUCUCUGUAUCUUUUGUUAAAUAUUUUUAUUCGCUUCCCUGCAAUUGGUAUUUUUAACCUUGUUCCAUUUAACUCCCGCAAUGAAUAAGUUGCAUUAUCAUGAACAGUUGUUACCACAUACGGUCCAAACCAUCGUUUAGAAAACUUCCUUAAAGCACUAUGUUGUUUGUCUAAGCUACUAUCAUAGACCAAAAUCCAAUCACCUUCUUCAAUUGCUUUAGGCCUCAAUCGAUGCUGCUUAUCAAAUCAUGUCUUAUUUUGUAACUUUACUCUUUUUAACCUUUCUAAUGUUAUUUGCACAUCUUCUGAUCUUUUCUCUAAUUGUUGAAUUCUAAUAGCUAGAAGUUCUUCUCUUGUCAAUCCAUCUUCCCAUAGUAGUACACUCCAAGUAGGUACUUUUUCUUCAAUUGGCAUAAUUAGUUUUUGGCCUGUUAUAAGCUCAAUAGGCAUAUAUCCCGUUACUGAGCUAUAAGUUGUUCGAUCAAUCCAUAAUGCAAAUGGCAAAAGUCAUGGCCAUUCUCUAACCUUCCCAUUACAAGCUUUAACUAAUGCUUUCACAAUCGGUGGGUGACUACGUUCAUUUUUUGCAUUUCCUUCAGGAUUAUAAGCAGUAGUUAGUGAUAGUUUAAUUCCACACCUUUCAAAGAAUUUACAAGCUUCUUGUGCAUUUAAUUCUCCAUGAUAUGCAGUGAUUUUUCCUACACAUCCGUAGCAGCAAAUAACAUCUUCAAGCAAAAAUCUACAAAUUCCUUCCGUAGUUUUUGUUCUCAAUGCUCUUCCUUUUACUUGAUUUGAUAAAUCUUUGCGAGCUAAGAUCAAAUAUCUCAUUUGUCAUAACCCGAUUGGCAUAAUAAUCAAAUCAACAACCCAUUUAAAAUGAAUAGCUAGAGGAUAUGUAGGAUGAAGACUAUUUCGAUGUCGUAUAUUAUAAUACGCUUGACAAAUUUUACAUGAUUCUACAAAUAAGAGCACAUCUCAAUACAUAUUUUUUUCACCAAUAUCAUUCUUUAAGCUUAGCAAAAGUAGUCCAAAUUCUUCUAUGUCAUGUCCAUAAACUAUCAUGAAAUCCUUUUAAUAAUUUUUGUUCUCUUCCUUAUUGCCUAGCACUCUUUAUAGCAUUCCAAUUUCUUUCUUUAGUCCCUUCCAUAAGAAUCCUUCUUGAAGCAAAAAUCCAUAUGCUUUUUUUCUUAUUUGUUUAAAUUUUUCUGUAGACCAAUUUUCUUGCUUAGUCAAGGUAUUCAAGUAAUGACUAAUAUUCAAUAAUUCUCCUUCAUAAUUUUCUUCAAGAAAUAGCUUGUCUUCUUUGUUAAGAUUUAUUACCAAAUAAAAUUUUGACCCAAUAUCAUCAAUGUCUUCAACUAUUUCGUCUUCUCUUUCAUAUCUUACUCGAGAUAGCAUGUCUGCUACUAAAUUGUCCUUUCCAGGAACAUACUUAAAUUCCAGAUUUAAUGACUUAAUAUAAGCAGUCCAUCUUAACAUUGUAAUAUCCGACGUUGAAAAAUUAGUAAUCAUUCCAAGUAAUGGCAAGCAAUCCCUUUCAAUUACUACUGCUGUACCAAUCAAAUAAUCCUUUUCAGCUUUCAUAGCCGAAACAACUCUCCAAAGUUCUCUUUUGAUUUGCAAAUAUGCAUGUUGAUGAGUACUUAAAACUUUAGCUCCAAAUCGAACUGCAAAUUUAUUUCCACUGGAAUCAUCUUGACCCAGAGCCUAUGCAAUAGCAAUAGGACUGGUAUCCAGAAUAAGAAUUACUUGUCUAUUACAGUCAUAAUUAAUUUUUCUUAAAAUUGGAGGUGUCACCAAUAACACUUUUAGCUUUUGCAUUACUUCAAUAUGCUUUCUUUCCCAUUUAAAUCGAUAAUCCUUACAUAAUAAUUCAUACAAUGGAUCUGCUAUAUGAGUAUAAUAAAGAAUCUAAAUACAAUAAAAUACACAAGCCCCUAAAAACCUUCAUACUUCCGUUAAAGAGUCACAUGAAUCUUUCAUUCUUCUAAUUGCAUCAACUUUGCUUAGAUCUAGCUUUCUCCCAUAAAACCCACAUAAAUGUCCAACAAUAAGAACUUCUUGUACUCCAAAUAUAGAUUUUGAAAGUGUAAGAUGAACCUCUUCAAGUCGAGUUAAAAUCUUUUCACAAUCUUGUAUAUAAUUAAUAACAUAUUUGCGACACCCCCUCUCAUCUAAAGUUUCAUCUUUUUCUCCUUCUUUACAUCCUUUGAUAGGAACAUCAUCUCAAAAGGGCAUAGUUUUUUCAGGAAUGAAGUCUCUUAAUACCUUGUUCAUCCCAUUCAUCAUAUGUAUAACUGAAUUAAUAGCACCCUGAGGGAGAGUACAUAUUUUAAGUAAUCCAAGUGGCGUUCUCAUUGUUGUUAGAUCUCUACUCCCAUGUACAAGUUGAAAUUGAUUAUAAUCCGAAUAUAAAUCACCCAUUGAAUAAAUUGCCCUUCUCGCAAACGCUUCCUACAAACUCAUCUACUAAAGGUCCUAUACCUGCAUUUCUUAUAGUUACUGCAUUCAUUGCCUAUAUAUCUUAAAUAAAACGUAACGAUCUAUUUUUCUUAGGCACCAUAAACCAACGACUAGAAUAUGGAACAAAAGAAGGCUCCAAAAUUUUCAUUUGCAUCUUUUUUUUCAAUAAUUCCACCAAUUUAGGUAAAUGUGCCCUUGGCAUGGGAAUUGGCCUUAAGUUCCAAGGCACAUGAGGUAUUAUAAAGAUAACCAUAGGAGCAACAACAUUAAGAUCUACACAUCCUAUUUCACGAGACCCAAAGGUAAAUAAUUUACCUCAAUCUACAAGCACUUUUUUAAAACAUUCAAUUUCUGUUGGAAAUAAGGAACCAUCACAUUCAAUCUUCAAUUCUUCAAAAGUCUCCUUUGUAAAUUGAUAUCCAAUUUUCUUUGGAUCUCUUAAACUCUCUUCUUUUGAUGCUUCUUCUAUCUGUUUCUUAGAAUCUUUUGGUAAAGGUCCGGCAAUAGGUUUUACUUUUUUAUCUACUGUUUUAUAUUUUGAUUCUACAAUAACUUCUGGUGCUUAAAAAGAUUCAAGUAUAGAAUAAACCUCCCUCGAAUGAAUUUCCACAAUCUUAUCAUUAUCCCUUAAUCCAAUAGAUAUAAUUCAUUCUAAAGAAUCCUCUAAUCUAUUUUCUUCAUAAACACCUAAAAUCUUCUCAUCAUCUUCUAAUGUCCCUAACUUGCAUAAUUUCUUUUCAAUACUAUAUAAUCUUUUCCUUUCUUUUCUUUUAAAAUCAUCAACUUUUUUAUAUAUAAUAUUUCUAUUCUCAAAAAUACCAAUAAAACUCAUAUCAAAGGUACCUUCAUCUCGCAAGAGUACCUCCUCUUUUGUACCUCUAUAAUCCCGCUUUAUAGUGGUACUUCUCCAAAAUCCUUAAAUCCUUCAACAAUCCUUAGCAAUGGUUUCUCCCUUAACCUAUCUCAAUUCCGUUCAUGAUUAAGAGGUACUUUUAGAAAUUGUAUAGCUUUCCUUCUAUCUUCACUACGUACCCUUGCAUAAGCAGAACCAUUGUCAAGUACUUUUUUUUCAAUCUGUGUUAUCGUAAUAUAAGGUUGUCCUAAAAUCAACGGAUAAGACAUUGUAUCUUAAACAAAGAAAUGUUGUUUUAUUGCAACAUCUCCAAUUCCGAAUUUUGACAUCCGGACAAACUCCAUAUAAUUUACCUCAUGUAUUAUUAGCUACUUAUAUUGUCCAUCCAUGUUCCAUAUCAAUUGGCCAUUUUUGCUUCUUAUAAAGAUCCUUAGACAUAAGAUUUAUUUCAAAACCAUAGUCAACUAAAGCAACAAUUGGUUCUUUUAUAUCUCCUACUUUCACCAAUACUUCAGUAGUUUUCCUUGUCCAAUAUUUUUGAGUAUAAUGGCUUAAAGCUUCCAUUUCUUUAUCACUAUAAUCUUCAAAACGUACUCGUUGAUUAUAUCCAUUCUUUUCAUUUGUUGAUUGCUUAUAAUCAUUAUCAACCUCUUCUUCAUCUUUAUAUAAUCCUGCAUCAAUAGCAUGACUCAUUCCAGCUUUGCCCAUUAAUUACUUCUUUCGCUUAAUGUUAUCAAUGAUAAUAUCAUGAAAUUCCUUCUUUACAAUUUCCAUAAUCUCUUUCAAUGUGAAUUCCGCCUUAGCAUUUAAUAUACGUUCUUCCAGCACCCCUUUUAAAUUUGUUGUCACUUCAAUAUCAAAAAGUACCUUAUAAGCAAUUGAUUUACCCUUAUCUUUUGUUUCUUUUGUUUUUUUCUUCCAAUGAUGCUGAAGUAUUCUUUAUAGGCAAUUCUUGUGAAAUCACUUCACGAGCCUCAUUUCCUUGAGUUUGUCUCUUAGAAGAAUUUCCUUCUCUUGUAUCAUCAAAAUUUUCUCAUUUCUUUUCUUCCAUCAAAGCUUCAUGUUGACUCUUAACAAUAUAUACAUGAACUGAAAGAGACUCAAUAGGAUCUUUCCAACUUGUUGCACCUCGUAUUGUAGCUGCAGUCCUCAAUAAUGCUUCCUAAAGUAUUUUUUCUUUUUGCAUUGUGGAAAUGGCAGAAGCCCAAAAUUUACUAGUUUCUAUACUUCCACCAAAGUCACCAUCUACUCUACUACCAUAACUUGCACUCUCUCGUGAUGCUACUCCAUGUUCUGUUAAAUAAUCUUGAACUAAUGCUCUCAUACCUCCUUUGCCAAAAUUGGUUUGAAAGAGAUCUUCUGUAUCCUUUAAUGCAAUCUUUCCAUCUUUCCAGCAAAUAACUCCUUGCUAUAUCAUAUUAUUAAAUUCAUUACAAUUUUUUCUAGUAUGUGAAGCGUCAUGACACCAGAAAUAUCUUUGUAUAUAUCCUUGUUUUGAAACAUUCUUCAAAUUGUUUGUUGAAGUAUUUUCUUCAAGUCUUACCAAUUUGAUUUGAAGAUCUCGCAUUCCACGUAUAAUUUUUUCAAUCUCCAUCUCUCCUUUCUUCGGUAAAGAUAUUAAAGGUUGAACAGUGGGCAUUGUUGGUCGUGUUACAUAUAUUGGAAUUUUAGGUGCUUGUACUACUUUUGGAAUAUUACUCCUAUCUUUCCUCCUUUCUCUUUUUGCAAGCAAAUCCACCACAUUUUCAACAUUUUUCUACUUUGUUGUCAAUCCUUCAUCUUCUUCUUUGUCUUCAAGAAGCAACUCCAAUUUUCCUUGUAAUUCUCCAUCAGCAGCUUGAAAAAAUAAUUCAACCUUGUUCGGCUCUAAUGUCAAUUUUUCUAUCUUUGAUAAUUGAGAAUACUACCUCUCAAAUUUCCUUCAUAGCUCUGUUGCUUGUAAAUACUUAUUAGGCUGCUCAAUCCAUUCUAAAAAUAGUUUCUUAGUAAUAUGAUCAAUGUCCUCCAAGAAAUAUUCGUCUUUUAAUGCAUGUAAAAAAAUCUCCCACGAAUUUCCAUAAUUCUCCAUAAUUGAGGUAAUAUGUUCUCUUAUCUCCGGUAUCUUGGCUAAUCCAAAUAAUUCAACCAUCUUCUUCUCAGAAACCCAAUUUAAUUUCAUUUCCUGAACAUAAAAUCUUAAAUACUUUGAAAUAUCUCUUCCAUCAAACAAGUCAAUUUUAUUGGCCACUGCUUGCAAAGCUUUGGUUGCUAAAGCUUCUUUGCAAUCAUUUCUUUGCUGUUGAUACAUAGAUAAUGAUAAGGCUUGAAACAUACUAGCAAUGGAUGGAUUUAUGUAUAUACCCUAUCUUUUAGAAGAAACUCCACCAGAAGCUCUACUUGAAGCUCCUCCCAAAGAUCCCUCAAAAUUUUUAUUCUCGUUCUCCAUAAAAUAAAAUGAAAAUAAACAAAAUCCAAUACCUUCCACCUUAAGCUUUCACGUCGAGUUCACCACUAAUGUCAUAUUACGUACUAUCUUGCUUGAGAAUGCACCGGGCAUCUAGCUGUAGAAGAUAAAACAAUGUUUUAUAAGUAUCCAGGUAGGCUAGUGGAUUUCAACCAUCUAAAUACAAACUAUUUCGGAUUUCAAUGUAAAAGCUUAAUUCCAAUACAAAGUACUUAGAAAUACUAUUUUUAAUAACUUUAAGAUAUUAUAAGUACAAAGUCUUUUUUAUUUGUUAAUUUUUAUUUUUAUUUUAUUUUAUUUUUAAUCCUAAUUCUAGACAGCGAGCUUCAGCAAGCUGUAAUUCUCAUUCUGAUCAUCCGAUUGUUAUAAAUUUCUACCACUAGUGUCUUUGCAAGCCUUCUAAAUGCUUAAGAAGUUUCAAUCCAAUCUAACUUAUAGGUUGCAAGAAAAUGCCAUUAAUCCACAUUAAUGUAUCUUGACCGCCGCCUAGAAGUCAUCGACUUAUCACACCAAAAGUCACCUUAUUCUAGCCAAUAGAUCUCUAAAUAUUACAAAAAUCCUAAACAACCUCAAUUUGCUAACUUUCGAUACCUCUUUACACUAAUGGUCAAAUAUCCUCUAUCUGUUUUAUCAGAUUAAUACAAACUUUUAUAUGUACUCAGCAUAUUCAACCCUCCAGAUACCUCUAAAUUUCAACCGUAGAAGUUUCUUCAAUUUCACAAAACAGUCAAAAUUACCAGCUGUUACUUUAUUGCAAAAAAUCCAAUUUACCAAUACAAACAUUGACUUUCAACAACGAUUGCCAAAGUUCUUCCAAAUCCUAUGAAAUCCAAUUCUACAUCUUUCGAAGGAGCUUGAAGCUAGCUCUUCGACCCCAAAAAUCCAAUCUCCAAAUGCCCCUUUUCUUAUCCUCUCCUCCCUUUUAACUCCGUAUUGUCCCCUUUUCUCCCGCCUUGGACUCCAAAUUAGAACAGCCAACGGCGCUUCCCCGGAAUUCCUGUCUAUAAGAGGAUCUUUCCACCAAAAGGACGUUUCCCCCAAAACGGCAUAGAGAAUGGAACAGAUUAAAAUGGAACCAAAGCCUCUAUAUUCAGGACCUCAUUGGGUUGCCCAACCAAGUCAGGUCUCAUACUGGGUAAGAAGCCCAUACCAAGACUUGGAUUGGAUGUCCCCAUAAUUGGAUCAAAUUGGCCCUUCACAUCAGACUCACCCAAAUAUUGAAUUGGUUCUUUCUCCUUUUGCCGACUCUUGGUAAGAACGGCUCGGACUCAUCCCACUUGAUUUAUCGAAGAAUCUUAAGGACCUUGAUUUAUCUCCUCAAUUUUUCCUUGGCUUUGGAUCUACUAAUCCCGUUUAUUGAAAUUGGAUGGAGCAUUACAUUGCUGAUAAGUAUGCCUCAUCUGCUUGCCAUUCCUACACACUCGCCUGUAAUCAUCACUGGCUUUGGGAUUGGAAUAUUCACUGGCAUAAUAACCAACCUAGUUUUCAACGAAAAUGACGAAGUGGUCUUCCUGCACCCCAUCAUGCAUAUUGGGUGUCUCCAUCGGUAUAUAUCUAUUAGGCUUGUUCCAUGUAGGGUUGAAAAAUAAUCUUGGUUGUUCCGUUGGUAUGGAGGGUACUUGGUUUGAUGAUGUUGGUGGGGUGACAUUAACUGACCCUGAAUAUUGGCAUUUUAGUUAGACACUAUUUUUAACAUCCAAGAUGACUAAAUAUUAAUAAUAUCUUUUUUAUUUAUAUUUUCACCAUGUAGUCGUGUUACAAUACGACAACACAUUGACACAUUCUUUGUGAGAGAAGGAUUUGUAAGGAGUGAGACUGAUCAUUCCUUAUAUGUGAUGCAAUCAAAUAUGUUCAUAUUGAUUGUCAUCCUCUAUGUUGAUGAUUUGAUCAUCUUAACCAAUAUAUUGAAGAUGAUGGAUUAGUUGAAGGCAAAGUUAGAAAAGGAGUAUGAAAUGAGUGAUUUAGGAGAGCUUCAUUAUUGUUUAGGAGUGGAGUUUGUAAGAGAUUGUACUAAGAAGACUAUUAUAAUGAGCCAAAGGAAGUACAUUGAAGAAGUGUUAAAAUGAUUCAACAUGGAGGAGUGUAAGCCUAUUGGAACACCAUUGGAAGCAAACUUGAAGUUGAUGAAGCUCACGGAUGAAGAGUUUGCUGAAACUGAAGGUCAAAUGCAAGGUGUUCCAUACAAGGCAGCAAUGGACUCACUUAUGUAUGCAAUGGUUUGUACAAGGGUGGAUCUUGCAUAUGCGGUGAGUGUUGUGAGCCAACACAUAUCAAAGGCUGAACCAAUCCAUUGAACAACCAUCAAAAGGAUCAUGAGGUACUUAAAAGGUACUUUGAACUUCAAAUUAUGCCUUGGAGGUGUUAACAUUAGUUUGCAUGGUUAUUGUGAUGCGGAUUGGGCUGGAGAUGCAAAUGAUAUAAGAUCAACAAUGGGCUAUGUAUUCUUUGUUGGAGUGGGAGAAAUUUCAUGGAAUUGCAAGAGACAACCAACCAUUGCAAGGUCAACAAUGGAGGCAGAGUACAUAGGAGCAAGCCAUAGUGCAAUGGAGGCAAUAUGGUUGAGACAACUUUUGGAAGACAUUGGAGAUGUGCAAAUGGAAGGAACUCCAAUGGAGUGUGACAAUCAAGGAUGUCUUACAUUUACAAAGAAUCCAAAACAUCAUUCUAGGACCAAACACAUUGACAUUCAACAUCACUUUGUAAGAGAGAAGAUUGAAAUGGGAGUGAUUGAUAUGAAGUAUUGUGCAAUGGAAGAAAUGCUUGCUGAUUUGUUGACAAAGGCAUUAGUAAAAGAUAGACACCACAUGUUGACAAAGGCAUUAGGAUUAAAAGCCAUUUGACCAAUAGCAAAGUGAGAGUGUUAAAGUAAAAAUAGAAUAAAUUACCUUAUAGAGGAUAUUAACUUAUGUAAGUUGCUAGUGGUCAAAGGUUUGACUCUUGAUAUAUGGUAAGGGCAUCCAAUGGACAUAGGGCGAAGUCAUGGACUAAGACUCAAAGUCAAAAGAAUAAAGUAUUAACAAAGAAAUAUCCAAAGAUUAAGUAUGAGUCAUUAGUAUGUAUCAUAGGAUACCCUCGAGGCUCGUGAGAUGCCAAAAGGA
rnacentral:lncRNA from 1 species